UCGGGUUCUCGUAGGUGACCUGCGGAGGGACAUUACACAAAUAUGAAGGCGGGCUGGAACCUCUCGGGGUUACAGCCUUGCUGAAUUAUUCACCCUUGUCUUUUGCGUACUUCUUGUUUCCUUGGUGGGUUCGCCCACCACUAGGACAAACAUAAACCUUUUGUAAUUGCAAUCAGCGUCAGUAACAAAUUAAUAAUUACAACUUUCAACAACGGAUCUCUUGGUUCUGGCAUCGAUGAAGAACGCAGCGAAAUGCGAUAAGUAGUGUGAAUUGCAGAAUUCAGUGAAUCAUCGAAUCUUUGAACGCACAUUGCGCCCUUUGGUAUUCCAAAGGGCAUGCCUGUUCGAGCGUCAUUUGUACCCUCAAGCUUUGCUUGGUGUUGGGCGUCUUGUCUCUAGCUUUGCUGGAGACUCGCCUUAAAGUAAUUGGCAGCCGGCCUACUGGUUUCGGAGCGCAGCACAAGUCGCACUCUCUAUCAGCAAAGGUCUAGCAUCCAUUAAGCCUUUUUUUCAACUUUUGACCUCGGAUCAGGUAGGGAUACCCGCUGAACUUAAGCAUAUCAA
rnacentral:rRNA from 1 species